GGCGGGGUAGCUCAGUCCGAUAGAGCAAUCGGUUCAUACCCGACAGGUCGGUGGUUUAAAUCCACUCCCCGCCACCA
rnacentral:tRNA from 1 species